rnacentral:rRNA from 1 species
CCUACGGGAGGCAGCAGUGAGGAAUAUUGGUCAAUGGACGAGAGUCUGAACCAGCCAAGUAGCGUGAAGGAUGACUGCCCUAUGGGUUGUAAACUUCUUUUAUAUGGGAAUAAAACGUUCCACGUGUGGGAUUUUGUAUGUACCAUAUGAAUAAGGAUCGGCUAACUCCGUGCCAGCAGCCGCGGUAAUACGGAGGAUCCGAGCGUUAUCCGGAUUUAUUGGGUUUAAAGGGAGCGUAGGUGGAUUGUUAAGUCAGUUGUGAAAGUUUGCGGCUCAACCGUAAAAUUGCAGUUGAAACUGGCAGUCUUGAGUACAGUAGAGGUGGGCGGAAUUCGUGGUGUAGCGGUGAAAUGCUUAGAUAUCACGAAGAACUCCGAUUGCGAAGGCAGUUCACUGGACUGCAACUGACACUGAGGCUCGAAAGCGUGGGUAUCAAACAGGAUUAGAUACCCGUGUAGUC